rnacentral:lncRNA from 1 species
UCAGGAAUAAGGCUUGAUUGCUGUUGUAACAGUUACAUUGGGUUAGCUGUUUCCCAGGAGUUCCUUUAUUUCAGUUAGACUUGUAUGCUUGGUGGGGAUAUAUUGAAAUUUUGAGAACCUGUAAUUUGUCUAUACUAUUGGAAUGAAAUGCGCCUGAAUAUAACUGAGUGGACAUAAAUGAUUUGUAUAGCCUCGACAAGUUGGGAUUGAAGUUGGGAGUGAAUAGAACUAUGCACAUCUACAAUUAUAUCAAAAUCUAGAAAAUCCAGAAUGAUGCACCACACAGCUGGUAGAAUUGCCUCCAGAAAUGAUAACAAUGGGAAUAAAACGCUGAUGACACACCUGCUGCACUUCAGAAGCAACUUUCUGGUAUAGAUCAUUGAGUUUUGGUAAAUACAUCUCCUUCAUAGACUUGAUCUGCAUUACAAUUUUCAUUAAGUUGACUAUAUAAGUAUCAGGACUACAGUCUCGUGUGGAUAACUAAUAAUUAGAUCAAUUGUACUAUGCAGUAGAGAACAAACUAGAGAAUCUUAGUAAAGAACCUUCAGAUGAAACGGUUAAAAUUGAAAUAGAAGAGGAAGAAUACAACUGAUUAACCAAUACAUUUUGCAGGAUUCAGCAUGUGAAUGAUAAAAUAAGCAACUGGGCAUACUUCUCAAUUGAGAAUAUAUCAGUCUCUGUUAACAUGCUCAAUUUUCUAUUUCCUCUAUGAACUAGAAUGCAUAAAGUACCUUGCGGGAAGGGGUAUGACCAUGAAUUUAGCUGAACACCUAUUUUGGGAAACCUCCUCUAUUACUCCAUCAAUCACAGGAAAAUAUUUCAGAAUAUUCAGCUAUUUCUUAUAUUGUUAUAACCAGCCAAUUUAUCAAAAUCCAC